GACGAACGCUGGCGGCGUGCCUAACACAUGCAAGUCGAACGGGGUAAUUUCUUUCGGGAGAUUACUUAGUGGCGAACGGGUGAGUAACGCGUGAGGAACCUGCCUUUCAGUGGGGGACAACAGUUGGAAACGACUGCUAAUACCGCAUAACAUAUAUCGGGGGCAUCCCUGAUAUAUCAAAGCUUAAUGUGCUGAAAGAUGGUCUCGCGUCUGAUUAGCUAGAUGGCGGGGUAACGGCCCACCAUGGCGACGAUCAGUAGCCGGUCUGAGAGGAUGAACGGCCACAUUGGGACUGAGAUACGGCCCAG
rnacentral:rRNA from 1 species